rnacentral:lncRNA from 1 species
UGGUUCUGGCUAUACAUAAGACAGCGUAAUAUGGAUAGUGGUUUUAGUUGGGCUAUAUAAAGAACUCAGACUGAGAACAACAACUGCUAUUCGAAAAGAGAAAACUGGACCUAUACAUUGCUAAAAAAAUUAAGGAGAGAAACUAAUAAAAUUAAAGAGAGAAACUCAUCUAGAGAUGGGUAAUGAAACCUAAUAUUGAAUUGCAUAU